GACGAACGCUGGCGGCGUGCUUAACACAUGCAAGUCGAACGGAAAGGCCCUGCUUUUGUGGGGUGCUCGAGUGGCGAACGGGUGAGUAACACGUGAGUAACCUGCCCUUGACUUUGGGAUAACUUCAGGAAACUGGGGUUAAUACCGGAUAGGAGCUCCUGCUGCAUGGUGGGGGUUGGAAAGUUUCGGCGGUUGGGGAUGGACUCGCGGCUUAUCAGCUUGUUGGUGGGGUAGUGGCUUACCAAGGCUUUGACGGGUAGCCGGCCUGAGAGGGUGACCGGCCACAUUGGGACUGAGAUACGGCCCAGACUCCUACGGGAGGCAGCAGUGGGGAAUAUUGCACAAUGGGCGGAAGCCUGAUGCAGCAACGCCGUGUGCGGGAUGACGGCCUUCGGGUUGUAAACCGCUUUCGCCUGUGACGAAGCGUGAGUGACGGUAAUGGGUAAAGAAGCACCGGCUAACUACGUG
rnacentral:rRNA from 1 species